rnacentral:rRNA from 1 species
AGAGCGAACGCUGGCGGCAGGCCUAAUACAUGCAAGUCGAACGGAUCCUUCGGGAUUAGUGGCGGACGGGUGAGUAACACGUGGGAACGUGCCCUUUGGUUCGGAACAACUCAGGGAAACUUGAGCUAAUACCGGAUGUGCCCUUCGGGGGAAAGAUUUAUCGCCAUUGGAGCGGCCCGCGUCUGAUUAGCUAGUUGGUGAGGUAAAGGCCCACCAAGGCUACGAUCAGUAGCUGGUCUGAGAGGAUGAUCAGCCACACUGGGACUGAGACACGGCCCAGACUCCUACGGGAGGCAGCAGUAGGGAAUCUUGCGCAAUGGGCGAAAGCCUGACGCAGCCAUGCCGCGUGAAUGAUGAAGGUCUUAGGAUUGUAAAAUUCUUUCAGCGGGGAAGAUAAUGACUGUACCCGCAGAAGAAGCUCCGGCUAACUUCGUGCCAGCAGCCGCGGU